AAGACUGUACUUUCAGGGAUCAUUUCAAUAGUUUUUGACUUGGAAAUGUGUUUCGAAAGUGUUGCAUCUCGCUACUCACGAUGAUGAGCUGUGAUGUCUCUCUCUUAGCGGGAAUCGGAAAGAAAUUAAGCUGUUUAGCUCAAGCUCUUUCAUUGAUGACCAUUCCUGUCUUCCGUCUGGGAUUGGGAGGAGAGAGGCAUUAUCAGAGUGAA